GUAUGCCUAUGAUUACGUAUUACCUACAUUAUUUGACACGCUCAUGAAAAAACAACUUUGUAUGAGGCGUAC
rfam:Cerapachys biroi unplaced genomic scaffold scaffold419, whole genome shotgun sequence.